rnacentral:rRNA from 1 species
UACGAAGGGGGCUAGCGUUGUUCGGAUUUACUGGGCGUAAAGCGCACGUAGGCGGGUCGUUAAGUCGAGGGUGAAAUCCUGGAGCUCAACUCCAGAACUGCCUUCGAUACUGGCGACCUAGAGUCCGGAAGAGGUGAGUGGAACUCCUAGUGUAGAGGUGGAAUUCGUAGAUAUUAGGAAGAACACCAGUGGCGAAGGCGGCUCACUGGCCCGGUACUGACGCUCAUGUGCGAAAGCGUGGGGAGCAAACAGG